UAAGGAAUAUUGGACAAUGGUGGAAACACUGAUCCAGCCAUGCCGCGUGCAGGAUGACAGCCCUAUGGGUCGUAAACUGCUUUUGUACGGGAAAAAACCUCUUUACGUGUAAAGAGCUGAUUGUACUGUAAGAAUAAGGAUCGGCUAACUCCGUGCCAGCAGCCGCGGUAAUACGGAGGAUCCAAGCGUUAUCCGGAUUCAUUGGGUUUAAAGGGUGCGUAGGCGGAAUAAUAAGUCAGUGGUGAAAGCCUGUUGCUUAACAACAGAACUGCCAUUGAUACUGUUAAUCUUGAGUACAUUUGAUGUGGGCGGAAUGUGUCAUGUAGCGGUGAAAUGCUUAGAUAUGACACAGAACACCGAUUGCGAAGGCAGCUCACAAAACUGUAACUGACGCUGAGGCACGAAAGCGUGGGUAUCAAACAGG
rnacentral:rRNA from 1 species